GAUGAACGCUAGCUACAGGCUUAACACAUGCAAGUCGAGGGGUAACGAGAGGAAAGCUUGCUUUCCUUGUCGACGACCGGCGCACGGGUGAGUAACGCGUAUCCAACCUGCCCCCAACUAGGGAAUAACCUUGCGAAAGUAAGACUAAUACCCUAUAAUUUCCUCAGAUGUCAUCUGACGAGGAAUAAAGAUUUAUCGGUUGUGGAUGGGGAUGCGUCUGAUUAGCUUGUUGGCGGGGUAACGGCCCACCAAGGCAACGAUCAGUAGGGGUUCUGAGAGGAAGGUCCCCCACAUAGGAAAUGAGACACGGUCCAAACUCCUACGGGAGGCAGCAGUGAGGAAUAUUGGUCAAUGGGCGGAAGCCUGAACCAGCCAAGUAGCGUGCAGGAUGACGGCCCUAUGGGUUGUAAACUGCUUUUAUACAGGAAUAAAGUUAGCCACGUGUGGUUAUUUGUAGGUACUGUAUGAAUAAGGACCGGCUAAUUCCGUGCCAGCAGCCGCCGUAA
rnacentral:rRNA from 1 species